CUUGCAACUAGAGAGUUCUUUACUAAUGUACUUCUAUUCUUCAGCAAGGAAUCAUAGGACCCGACACUUUCAUUUGGUACACUCGACCAAUACUGAAAGAGCAUACAUCGAGGAAGAAGUCUCUCAUUCAAGACAACCAGAUCUUUGGACUGAAAUCCUCCCUCAAGAAACUUUCCCUUGUCAAAGCAACAACUCGAAGAAGGUCAAACUCGUCGAAGAAGCAAUAAGCAGCAAGGAGAAGCAGUAGCGCUUGUUCUCUGCUAGAAUUUCUUGGAAGCGUCCCAGUGACCCGCAUGACAAGUCGAAAUCUCGAAGGGAGAGAUGCCUCUCAUUUUGCUCUGUAAGUGUUUGCAUGGCCUAUGCCACAAGCCACUAGAUAAGCGCAGUUAACUGUAGAUGAAUCUUUCAUGAGAUAUGAAAUUUAUAUUUUUAGCGAGGUCUAAGCAUGACCCAUC